rnacentral:lncRNA from 1 species
GGACAAAGCAUAUGAAAGGAAGUUGCCUGUUAGUUCUUUAUCAAUAUCUCGGUUUGUGGACAACAUUUCAUCUCGAGAAGAUAUAGACUCUGCCGAGUACUAUCUUUACAAAUUUCGACACAGUCCCAACUGCUGGUACUUGAGAGACUGGACCAUCCACACGUGGAUUAGACAGUGUCUGAAAUACGGAGCACCAGACAAAGCCUUGUAUACACUUGUUAAUAAGUGAUCAAGAGAGGACAGGUGAGCGAGGAGCAUGGCGGGAUGCUGCGCUGGCGGUCACUUCACUUCGUCUUCAUCCUCAAGCCCUGCCCUACUUGUCUGUUUCCCUUUCAGAAAGUUUGGGUGAACGGUGGCCAUUUUUGCUAGAGUGUCAUCUCCAGGUCAUUCUAUUCCUGGAUAAUAAUUUGUCCUUUCUCCUAAGCUCCACAGUUCUCUCCCCAACCCAGAGUGAGCUCCAGGGGUUAAGGGCCUUCCGAUGUCACUCUCCACCCAGCACUCAGCCUUCAUUGACGUCAUGACAAGGAAGUAUAUUCAAACUAAGCACACAAGUAGAGUGUUACUACUGCCAGAGUCAACCUGAACACUGUGAUGAGCCUUUAAAGAACGUUAACAAUGUUCUUAUGAAAAUAUCGUAUGUUCAUAGUAUCACCAGAUCCUAAAAUUAAAAUUCAGACAGAAUACCGGUUUA